rnacentral:rRNA from 1 species
UACGUAGGAGGCAAGCGUUGUCCGGAAUCAUUGGGCGUAAAGAGCGUGUAGGCGGCCAGAUAAGUCCGCUGUGAAAACUCGAGGCUCAACUUCGAGCUGUCGGCGGAAACUAUCUGGCUAGAGUCCGGAAGAGGAGAGUGGAAUUCCUGGUGUAGCGGUGAAAUGCGCAGAUAUCAGGAAGAACACCCGUGGCGAAGGCGGCUCUCUGGGACGGUACUGACGCUGAGACGCGAAAGCGUGGGGAGCGAACAGG